rnacentral:lncRNA from 1 species
GUGAGCUUAGUAGCCGUAUCUGGAGGAUCGGUGAGCUUGAACUAUAUGUUCAAGAAUAGUCGGUACCGCAUGUGUGGAGUCUCAUUGCAUAAUGUAUGUAUGGCGUAUAAUAUGAAUGGAUGUAUUCCAAUAUUAUACGUAUGUUUGUGUUGUUGUAGAGUACGAUUUGAGAUUAUACUUGCGUGUUAUGGAAUGUUGAGUAUGAUGUGAGCUGAUGUGCUGUUACUGAUUGUAUGUUUGCAAUUAGGGUGAUU